GGGUGCAUGUAGCCGAUGAGAACCAUAUUUUGUCUUACCUGUUUAUCUCCCUGAGCGAUAGAUAUUGAUAAAAGCUACUAGAGUUUCUUUUGUGCUGCUCAGAUUGAGUGGAACAAUGUGUUGAUGGGAUAUGUGAAUAGCUUAGAAUGGAUCUAGGGCUAGACGAAAUCUUGUUACAAGUAUAGCAUGUUCUUAUACCAUU
rnacentral:lncRNA from 1 species